rnacentral:misc_RNA from 1 species
AGCAAUUUUGAACUUGAAGCUUAUCUUGAGCAUAUCUCCUUUUUCCAGUAUUAAAAAGAUGAAAAGGAUCAUCAGCUGUUUCUAUGAGAUAUAUUUCUCUCCAUCUGAAGCAAGGAGAAUUGUCAAUUUUUCUUCAAAUUGCAUUGCAACAUCUCCACUCCUUGAAGAAGCUCGCGACUGCAGAGUGCAUUGGUUCACAAUUGAUGAGGAUGGUGCACAAACUGACCAUGAUGUCAUGUUCCCCUAGUCAUCAUGCUGCAAUCCAGACACUUAUGAUCAUGGAAUAUGUUAUCUCCACCAACACUUUUAUGGUUGCAUCAUACUAGUAUAAUAGUAUGAAAUAAUGUGUCCAAUGGAUUAUGGUUGAAAAACUUGCCAUUCAGAUGAGUCGAGGCUAAAGAGGUUACAUCAUCAUGCUUUUUGAUCUCCCUUAUUCCCCAUUUUAUUAUUAUGACUUACGAAUAAAAACCUGAGUGAGAUGUUAAUUAGUAACAAAUCAUAUGAUUAAUGAUAAAUCAUCUCCAUUUAAAAAUCAGGAAGCAUUAGUGUAAACAACAAUUACCCUUAUUAACACUUCCUCUAAUCCACGAAUUUCAGGGAAUUUUCUAGAUAUGGGGUUGGAGUUACUGUGUUCUUCAUUGUUUGAUCUCAUAUACAAUUGUCUUCAUCCAUUAUAGCCCAUUGACUUUGAA